GCGAGUAGUAGAAGCCUUUUUCAGCCAGGAGCUGCUGGUGAGUCCCUUGCUCUAUGACCUUGCCGUUCUGGAUCACAGCAAUCUUGUCAGCAUUCUGGAUGGUGGACAGGCGGUGAGCUAUCACAAUGCAGGUGCGGCCUUCUCUGGCUUUAUCCAGUGCUUCCUGGACAAUCUGUGCAAUGAACAAACCAAAAGGCACAUUAGAAUCAGGGCAGAGGUGGCCUCAUCCAGCAGCAGGAUGCGGGGCUGCCGUAUGAGGGCUCGGGCAAUAGCGAUGCGCUGCUUCUGACCACCAGAGAGCUGAGCUCCUUUGUCUCCCACACGUGUAUUGUAUUUCUAAAUAAAGAAACUAAGCAUCAACGUGGAUUUGGG
rnacentral:lncRNA from 1 species